GGAGCUUGCUCCACGGAUUAGUGGCGAACGGGUGAGGAACACGUGAGAAACCUGCCUCGGAUUUUGGGAUAACAAAUGGAAACGUUUGCUAAUACCAAAUAACGUCGGAGAGUCACAUGACUUUCUGACGAAAGGAAUUCCGAUUCGAGAGGGUCUCGCGGCCUAUCAGCUUGUUGGCGGGGUAAUGGCCCACCAAGGCAACGACGGGUAGCUGGUCUGAGAGGAUGGUCAGCCACACUGGGACUGAGACACGGCCCAGACUCCUACGGGAGGCAGCAGUAGGGAAUCUUGCGCAAUGGGCGAAAGCCUGACGCAGCAACGCCGCGUGCGGGAAGAAGGCUUUCGGGCUGUAAACCGCUUUCAGCAGGAACGAAAAUGACGGUACCUGCAGAAGAAGGAGCGGCCAACUAUGUGCCAGCAGCCGCGGUGAUACAUAGGCUUCAAGCGUUGUCCGGAUUUAUUGGGCGUAAAGAGUUCGUAGGCGGUCGAGUAAGUCGGGUGUGAAAAUUCUGGGCUCAACCCAGAGACGCCACCCGAUACUGCUUAACUUGAGUUCGAUAGGGGAGUGGGGAAUUCCUAGUGUAGCGGUGAAAUGCGCAGAUAUUAGGAGGAACACCGGUGGCGAAGGCGCCACUCUGGAUCGACACUGACGCUGAGGAACGAAAGCAUGGGUAGCAAACAGGAUUAGAUACCCUGGUAGUCCAUGCGGUAAACGGUGGGCACUAGGUGUGGGUUUCUAUUAACGAAAUCCCGCGCCGUCGCUAACGCAUUAAGUG
rnacentral:rRNA from 1 species